AGGCGUCGCGCGGCCGGAGAUGCGGGGCGCGGGUCCUCACGGGGCCGGACUCCCGCGUCUGAGGGAGUCGUGGCCGCUCCCUUCGAGGCAGCAGCGUCCUGUGAGGCGAGUGGCGCGUUCAGCUAGGCCCGAGGGACGCCGCGGGGGGUUCAGUCAGCAACCUCGAUCUCGGAAAAGCCGAGCGAAGUUUCCAGACGGCGCCGGCCGGUUGCGGCCGGUUGGUGCGUCGGCCGGCGCGCUCAGGGGGGCUCAGAAGUCGCCCGAGCCAAAGCGGGCUUUAGCAGGCGGGCCUCGGAAGCGGGGACGACGGACCCGGUCCCACCGCACCCCGGAACAAACGGAAACAGUCGCUCCGAAUUGCCAGACACUCCGCUUUUGUAGCGGAUCCCGCAUUUCCAGAAGGAAAGCGUAGGUACGUCCUUUAAAGGGGGCCGAUCCUCCCUCCCUCGCCCCUUCUGAGUAAAGGUGAUGCACCUAGUUCGAUUCCUCACCGGAAAGAACUCUCCUGUGUGUUACCCUGGGAGUUAAACGUUCUCGGGGUAAGUAAACGGGGGUGUGUGGGGGUAUACCUAUUAAAAUACGACUUUUGGCACCCCCAUUCCUUCCUCCAGGAGUCUCCCGGGAAUAAAAGCGUUAGUAAGUCAUGUUCACAGGAGAGGACGGAGUACUGGAAACAGUAAGACGGUGAUUCAGACAACAAGAGUUUAACAAGCAUGUUAAUUCUCUGGGUUUGACCUAGAAGGACAUUAGUAUGUUGUGAGAAAAGAUUGUAAUCAAGUAGUAUUCCAUGGGGCUGAUCGGAGGUUAAGCGGCCGCACUGCUCUGGAAGAGGACCUCGGCCGGGUUCCCAGCACCCACAUAGCAGCUCACAACUGCCUGUAACCCUGGUUCCAGGAGGGAUCUGACACCCUCUUCUGGACGCUUCAGACACCAGGCACGACAGGUGUGAAGGCGCCUUUAAUCCCGGCACUUGGGAGGCAGAGGCAGGCAAUCUCUGAGUUCUAGUCCAGUCUGGAUUUGAAAGUGUACACAGUAGGAUGUUUUUGAGUGAGCAUGAAGCAAACCCAACACUUUGGUCACAGUGGAGUGUGGGAGGUACUAGGAAAGUGGAAAAAGGAAAGGUGAAGGCUGAAAAUUGGGAGGUGAGUGCUUAGAAAAUUAAUUUAAAAUGAAUAAAAUUUUAUUCUAAGUAUAAAAUACUACAGAAAAGAGCAACUGAGGGUAUAGCCCCUGGGCUCAAUCCUUAGGAAGGUGUGUGCUGGGGGGGGGGGGGAGUAUUACUACAAAAAUGUAAUAAAAUGGGAUUAGAGUAGACCAAUUGGCAAACCCUGGAACCCAGUGAGAGAUUCUGUCUCAAAAUAAGGCGGGAACUGGAGAGAUGGCUUAGCAGAGAAAAGUACCUGCUGUCCAAAGCCUGCCAGCCUGAGGUGGAUCCCCAAAACCCAGGUAAAAGGGGAUGGAGAGAGAAACACCCCACACCCCCAAAAUUGUCCUCUGACCUUCACAUGUGUGCUGUGGCACACACAUACAUAUACAUAAAUAAACUUAAGAAAACCUGUUGACCGACUGAGCUGGCUUGGCUCAAUUCUCAACAACCACAUGGUGGCUCACAACGGUCUGUAAUGGGAUCUGCUGCCCUCUUCUGCUCUGUCUGAAGAGAGUGACAGUGUACUCAUAUACGUUAAAUAAAUAAAUAAAUCUUAAAAAAAUUAAAACUAGAUUGUUAACAAGGACAAAUGAGAAUGGAUUAGAGGUUGGACAGAACUACUGGUACCCCCUAGCCCACAUCUCCAAUGUUGCUAUUUUUUUAACUAAGUGACUUCGAUUUGGGAAUUGCUACACACUAUUGAAGAGUCAAAACAACACUGCAAACCUCCUGGAGAAGACACCUUCACGGACAGACAAACGGACAGACAAAACUGAACUUGAGGUUCCUCACAGUCCUCACUAUUUCUGAGCACUCAGGAUACAACUGCCUAAACUCAGGGUUACUGCCGUGGCAGCUGCUGGGAUCCUGGAGAGAGUUCUUCUCACCACUGCAAUCUGUGCUUUGUAUCUGCCUUUGUAAACACGAGGAAUAGUGCAACCCUGCCAUGGACAGCAUGCCCUGAAUAGCUUCUUCCUCUGUGCUCGUCGAGGAAGAAAAAAAAAAAAGGCAACUUUCAAACCUCAAGAGCAUUUAUGGACGGACCAUGGUUUCAAGCAGUUUAUUACCUGGGCUCUUAUCUGCCUUUCUCUUCUGCAAGCACCACUGCAUAGCAACUCUUCUAUCAGCUCUCAGUGAUACACUGCCUUGCCCUGACAUAAUAACUACCAACUACAGAGGACCAGAUUUACUGGGAAUUAGUGGAAACUAAGAAAUUAAAAAUGAAUUCGGUAAUAUUUACUGUGGAAGAUGGCUGGAGAUGUUUGUUGAAUUUUCCAUUCAGUUUAGAGCUCAGUAGGUCCUUAAAAUCUUAUACAUAUACUUGACUAAACAAUCAACCAUAAAAAUACUUUAAAAAACAAAGCACAUUCUUAAGGCAACGUCAAAGCCUCGGCUUUCUGGAGGCCUUUAUUCCCCUCUCGUCCACACACUUUGUGAACAGAAAGGAAGUGCAUGCCUACCACUGUGAUUAUGUGUGAGGUUAGAAGACAGUUUUUCUCCUUCCACCACAUGGGUCCAAGGAGACUGAAGUCGGUCCUCAGGCUUGGCGGCAAGUACUGUGACAACCACUGUUACAGACAAUAGUUGGAUAACGCAAUUGUGGUAACGCACAUCUGCAAUGCUAGCAGUAAAGAGACAGCUUCAUCAAGAGAGACCCUAU
rnacentral:lncRNA from 1 species